GAUGAACGCUGGCGGCGUGCCUAAUACAUGCAAGUCGAGCGAACAGACGAGGAGCUUGCUCCUCUGACGUUAGCGGCGGACGGGUGAGUAACACGUGGAUAACCUACCUAUAAGACUGGGAUAACUUCGGGAAACCGGAGCUAAUACCGGAUAAUAUAUUGAACCGCAUGGUUCAAUAGUGAAAGACGGUUUUGCUGGCGGGUGUGGAUGGAUCCGCGCCUCAUUAGCUAGUUGGUGGGGUAGUGGCUUACCAAGGCUACGAUGGGUAGCCGGCCGGAGAGGGUGACCGGCCACAGUGGGACUGGGAGACGGACCGGACUCCUACGGGGGGCAGGGGGGGGGAAUAUUGCAGAAUGGGCGGAAGGCUGAUGCAGCAACGCCGCGUGCGGGAUGACGGCCUUCGGGGUGUAAACCGCUUUCGCCUGUGACGAAGCGUGAGUGACGGUAAUGGGUAAAGAAGCACGGGCUAACUACGUG
rnacentral:rRNA from 1 species